rnacentral:rRNA from 1 species
AGCAGCCGCGGUAAUACAUAUGGGGCAAGCGUUAUCCGGAUUUACUGGGUGUAAAGGGAGCGUAGGCGGCCUGGCAAGCCUGAUGUGAAAACCCGGGGCUCAACCCCGGGACUGCAUUGGAAACUGCCGGGCUGGAGUGUCGGAGGGGUAAGCGGAAUUCCUAGUGUAGCGGUGAAAUGCGUAGAUAUUAGGAGGAACACCAGUGGCGAAGGCGGCUUACUGGACGAUGACUGACGCUGAGGCUCGAAAGCGUGGGGAGCAAACAG